CCCACCUCUCUUCCUACAUUGCCGUAACUCCCUUUGCAAGUAAUUCUCUGUGAAGGACACACCAAGUGCCAACUCCACUGCUGCCAAGCUAGCGAUGCACAGAGAGUAUGGUCAUCUACCCUGGAGCCUGGCAAAGAGACUGUGCAUCUGGUCCAGAAAUCCCAACUGCAUUUGGAACUCUUUCAGUCCAUAGAUAUUUUCUAUUAAUUAGUCCUGGGAAGCUUUGCAGCCAUUCCUAAAAUAAUGCAAGAAACUAUUGAAGACAUCUCCAGAACAUCUCAACAUUAGCAAAGGCUUAUGGAAGGAAUAAGACUACCGUUCCCUAAAGGCAUAGCAACUGAGACAGGGGCUGACACCAACCACCUCCUCAAGCCAGCUUGGCACAGCCCAGCUCCCAUCUGUUCUCAGCCAGCCAGCUCCAAGGCCAGAGCACAGAGGAGGCUAUGUGUGUCUGUGUUUAUCUGCAACCAAUGCUGCAGAAGGAUCUACGGUACUCCUCAAUGCUACAGCUCACCUUCCUCACCAGGAGCAGCCAGAGACAUGUGAGACAAAGCCAAAGGCUGCUGGGAAGUUUACUGGGGAUCUUGCUAAUUCCUGGAUUUGGUGAUACUUUGAUAUCAUUUUGAAUUUCAACCAUUCAUCAGCAUGCACGAAUUCUGCAGGUUACAUCAGUUCCAGACAACUUCAUAUGAAGAUAAAAUUCUCUCUUCCUCCACUGCCAAGUAGCUUGUUUCUUCCAGUUCCUCUCAGUGUUACAAGGCGUUGCUCAGAUCACCUGCUUGGUGGUAGGCAUUGCAGAUGCUGUGGUAUCUAAAUCCUUUCCUACUCUGCACGAGAAGGCUUAGAAUUUAGCAAAUGGCAGUAAAUUACCAUUCAGACAUCCAGGACUUCCAGGACCAGAGAAAUCUGCAGAAGAUGCCUUUGUGGCCCAGUGCUGAUGACAUUACCAUAGGAGAAUGGGCCUUGCCCUUGAUGUUGCUGACACAUUUUAUACAACAGCUACUCUGGGACAAGUUCUGCCAUCUGAUCUCUGGAGCAGAGAUGGUGGUCCAUCCAUGGGACUGCAUGUGUACAAAGAAUGUCAUCAGAUUUUCACCUCUCCCUUAGCUUUUCCCUCUUCUUCCCUUUGGACUAUCUCUGGGUCAUAGCUGCCUUUAUAAUGGAUUUUGAUCAUUUAAUUAAAGAUGCAAAAAAUCUGUUACAUGUCACAGUUCAGUAGCUGUAUUGAUUGAUAAUAAAAUCAGAUGAUUAGGUUUUUUUCUUUCCUAAAAUG
rnacentral:lncRNA from 1 species